ensembl:lncRNA
GGACAGGAGUGUGUUUCAGUUGCCUUCCUCAUGUGACACCAGGUGCCGAGGUCCUGUCUCAACCUCCUUCAGACCAAUUGACACCAGGUGCCGAGGUCCUACCUCAACCUCCUUCAGACCAAUUGGCUCAAGGACCAAGUAUUCUGGGGGUUCCAAGCCACACGCUUUACUCAGCUGCCCUGGACAACAUGAAGGGCACCUCUGGCUCAAUCACCCUGAACAACAAAAACAUUAGCAACACUUCACCAAGAAGGGCUGGGACGGUGAGAAGCAAGUGGACAAAUGAUGAAGUGAAGGUUGCUGAGCGGCACGUUUCACUUCAUAAAAAGCUGCAAAGUACCAGGUAAAAAGGAAUGUGACUGCUGCCUCCAAGCAGAGCCGGCAGCUCUGAAAGACAGAGACUGGGUUGUCAUAAGGUACUACAGCCACAACAGGAUCAUAGCAUUAAAAGAAAGAUGCAAGAAAAAAAGAAACAAGCAAGAGAGAUACUUUGUUACUUCCACAGUUAUGUCAGUAUUGCAGUUUUCUGUAUUGCAUUGUUCUUACUCAUAAAUCUGUGGUUUAUGCUGGGUGCUUUUUGCAAUUAAAUGAUAAAAAAGGC